GAUGAACGCUGGCGGCGUGCCUAAUACAUGCAAGUCGAGCGAACGGACGAGAAGCUUGCUUUUCUGAUGUUAGCGGCGGACGGGUGAGUAACACGUGGAUAACCUACCUAUAAGACUGGGAUAACUUCGGGAAACCGGAGCUAAUACCGGAUAAUAUUUUGAACCGCAUGGUUCAAAAGUGAAAGACGGUCUUGCUGUCACUUAUAGAUGGAUCCGCGCUGCAUUAGCUAGCUGGUAAGGUAACGGCUUACCAAGGCAACGAUGCAUAGCCGACCUGAGAGGGUGAUCGGCCACACUGGAACUGAGACACGGUCCAGACUCCUACGGGAGGCAGCAGUAGGGAAUCUUCCGCAAUGGGCGAAAGCCUGACGGAGCAACGCCGCGUGAGUGAUGAAGGUCUUCGGAUCGUAAAACUCUGUUAUUAGGGAAGAACAUAUGUGUAAGUAGCUGUGCACAUCUUGACGGUACCUAAUCAGAAAGCCACGGCUAACUACGUG
rnacentral:rRNA from 1 species